UAGGUUGGAUAUGAUGACAGAGAAGGAAGCCUGAACACUGCAGAGAAAGGCUUUGCAGGGAGGCGGGACUUUGUCUGCCACUCAAGUCGGUUUCCCGGGUGGACAAGCUGGGGAGGGGAUUCCAAGCAGAGAAAAUUCUCGUGUGAACGCCGAAGGCGGGAACUAAGGAUGGCACAUCCCAGAACGUUUGUUAAGUGGGACCAAGCAACAAGACACUAUCUUCGUAGAACGCUGGUUCUCAACCUUCCUAACCCUCUGAUAUCCUGGGAGCGGUGAUUGUUCCAGUUUCAGAGUUAAGUCUGUACCUGAAGCCGCAACCUUCUGCCGCUGCGAGGGUGGAUUCUGGAGAGCGCGUUUGUCUUCAGUGUGUUAUUCGGUGUGGCGUUGUCCUGGGGGAUUUUACCAGAAAGCUUCCCUGAUUACUAUUUCCUUGACUGUGCUUUAGCUGUAAGUAACCUCCCUUAAGAUGACCUGACAUAAGUUUCCCUCCCUCCCUGCCUCCGUCCCUCCCUUCCUCCUUCCCCCACCCCUUCUUUUAAAACAGGAUCUCUCUAGGUAAUCCUUGCUGUUCUGGAACUCGCUCUGCAGACCAGCCUGGUUUCGAAUUCAGAGAUCUGCCUGCCUCUGCCUCUCCAGUGCUAGGAUCAAAGGUGUUCGCCACUGUGUCCCACGCUUUCUUUCUUGGCAAGGGCCCAAGUAUAAAGCCAAGCCAGCCUUACACCCAGCCUCAAAUCCUCCUGUCUCAGCCUCCUGAAUACUACUAGUCUCAGUGCCACAGCAAGUCUGGCAAGUUGUAAGUCUUUUGUGGGGGCUGGAGAGAUGGUUCAGUGGUUAAAAGCAUUGCCUGCUCUUCCAAAGGUCCUGAGUUCAAUUCCCAGCAACCACAUGGUGGCUCACAACCAUCUGUAAUGGGGUCUGGUGCCCUCC